rnacentral:rRNA from 1 species
AGUGAACGCUGGCGGUAGGCCUAACACAUGCAAGUCGAACGGCAGCACAGUAAGAGCUUGCUCUUACGGGUGGCGGGUGGCGGACGGGUGAGGAAUACAUCGGAAUCUACUUUUUCGUGGGGGUUAACGUAGGGAAACUUACGCUAAUACCGCAUACGCCCUACGGGUGAAAGCAGGGGAUCUUCGGACCUUGCGCGAUUGAAUGAGCCGAUGUCGGAUUAGCUAGUUGGCGGGGUAAAGGCCCACCAAGGCGACGAUCCGUAGCUGGUCUGAGAGGAUGAUCAGCCACACUGGAACUGAGACACGGUCCAGACUCCUACGGGAGGCAGCAGUGGGGAAUAUUGGACAAUGGGCGCAAGCCUGAUCCAGCCAUACCGCGUGGGUGAAGAAGGCCUUCGGGUUGUAAAGCCCUUUUGUUGGGAAAGAAAAGCAGCAGGUUAAUACCCCGCUGUUCUGACGGUACCCAAAGAAUAAGCACCGGCUAACUUCGUG